rnacentral:rRNA from 1 species
UACAAAUAAAUAGCUGUCUUUUUUUUAAAAUUUGAAUUUAACUUUUAAGUGAAAAGGCUUAAAUAUUUCAGGGGGACGAUAAGACCCUAUAAAUCUUAUAUAUAAAUGUUUAAUUUUUAUUGAUAAAUUGUUUUAUAGUUUAAAUUAAAUAAUAUAUUGUAUUGGGGCGAUAAAAGUAUAAUUAAUAUAACUGCUUAUUUUUGAAUACUAAUAUAUUUGAUUAUUAUUAAUGAUCCUUUAAAAGAUUUGAAGAUUAAGUUACUUUAGGGAUAACAGCGUUAUUUUUUUUGAGAGUUCUUAUCGAAAAAAAAGUUUGCGACCUCGAUGUUGAAUUAAAAUUUCUUUAUGGUGUAGUCUUUAUAAAAGAAGGUCUGUUCGACC